rnacentral:rRNA from 1 species
AGAGUUUGAUCAUGGCUCAGAACGAACGCUGGCGGCAUGCCUAACACAUGCAAGUCGAACGAGACCUUCGGGUCUAGUGGCGCACGGGUGCGUAACGCGUGGGAAUCUGCCCUUGGGUUCGGAAUAACAGUUAGAAAUGACUGCUAAUACCGGAUAAUGUCUUCGGACCAAAGAUUUAUCGCCCAGGGAUGAGCCCGCGUAGGAUUAGCUAGUUGGUGAGGUAAAGGCUCACCAAGGCGACGAUCCUUAGCUGGUCUGAGAGGAUGAUCAGCCACACUGGGACUGAGACACGGCCCAGACUCCUACGGGAGGCAGCAGUGGGGAAUAUUGGACAAUGGGCGAAAGCCUGAUCCAGCAAUGCCGCGUGAGUGAUGAAGGCCUUAGGGUUGUAAAGCUCUUUUACCCGGGAUGAUAAUGACAGUACCGGGAGAAUAAGCCCCGACUAACUCCGUG